ensembl:lncRNA
AUGCAAUGUGUUGACUUACUCACUUUAGUAAUAUUAUCAUCCAUAUCUGUUAAUACUACAAGGCUAAACCUAUCUAAUGUAUUUCUCUCUCUGUGCAUCUGUUGUACUGUAGUUCUGUGCAACCUUUCCAAUCUGCCCGUUAUCAGAAUGAGGACCCUGCCGCUCAGGAUCCUGAAGAGACGGACAGUACUUCAUCAUCCAGAUUCCCAUCCAGUGUUUGGACAAUCCUGAUUCUAAUCCUGUGCUACCAUUUCAUACCCAUUCUGAGAAUGCUACUCAGUUAUUCACCAUCCAGGUAAAUUGUUUUAUAUAUAUAUAUCUUCUUUCAAUCUAUGGUUGUAUGAGGCAGAUAUUUACAUAUAUUGCGUUACUGUAAAUUCCCAGCUGUUUUGCAGUCAAAUGUCAAAUUAGGACUCACAGUACACAGUUAUUAUUUGACGGCUUAUCAAAUCAAAUCAAAUUUAUUUAUAUAGCCCAAUAUCACAAAUUAUACAUUUGUCUCAGUGGGCUUUACAAACUGUACAGGUUACGACACCCUCUGUCCUUAGACCCUCGCAUCGCACAAGGAAAAACUUCCUAAAAGAAACCCCAUAAUUAAAGGGGAAAAAUGGAAGAAACCUCAGGGAGAGAAACUGAGGAGGGAUCCCUCUCACAGGACGGACAGACGUGCAAUAGAUGUCGUGUGUACAGGAUAAACAACAUAGUACAAAUACAACAUUUGACAGAAAUUAUGUUGUGUUGAAAAAGAGAAAGUUUGGAUGAAUCAAGGAAAAUGUCAAAAAGGCUUCCCGGUGUCCAGCAGGACCAGGGCAGCAGGCGCAGCCACGAUUCAUGAUCCUGACGUAAACUUUAUCAGUGGCAACCUGCCACAUGAGAGACACAGAAACUCCGGGGCAUGAUGCCUCAAUCCUAAACCUAAACUAAACUAUAACUCUUUUGAAAGCCUUGUUCUUACGCUCUCAAACCCAACAUGGAAAACAAUAAAGCUAAUUUUAUUUGUUACUGUGUACCGCCCUCCUGGUCCGUAUUCUGAAUUCUCAGAAUUUUUUAUCAGGUUUAGUUCUUAAAACAGAUAAAGUAAUUAUUGUAGGUGACUUUAAUAUUCAUGUGGAUGUUGAUAGUGACAGCCUUAAUAAUGCAUUUAUCUCAAUAUUAGAUUAAAUUGGGUUCAGUCAGAAUGUACAUGAACCAACUCACUGUUUAAACCACACUCUGGACCUUGUUCUGGGAUAUGGUGUUGAAAUUGAAAGUUUAUCAGUGUGUCCACAUAAUCCUCUUUUAUCAGACCAUUUUUUAAUAACUUUUGAAGUCCUGUUACUGGACUACAAGCCAGUAGGCAAAAUAUCCUACGCUCGAUGUUUAUCUGAAAGUGCUGUGACUAAAGUUAAUUUUGUUUUACUGAUUACCAGCCCCUUUUUAAAAUGCCCCUUUAUGUACAUAUGCAGCAACAUAGAAGCUAUUUUUCCAGUUUUGUUUCUCAUAUUAGAGUUUAACUACAACACUUUUCUUUCUUAUUUCUCAGACUUCAAGAGGAGGACGACACAGGUGUACUGGAGACGCCUACCCAUUUACACUUCUGACAAUGGGCCAGCAGCAUGAGUUUUUAUUUUAUUGUGCAAAUACAAUUUUGCAUGUACUGUAUGUACUGUGUAUGACAACACCUUAUAUGUAUAUAAAUGUAUAAUAAAAUGUACACUGGUUUUUAAUUCAUGUUAUCCUUGAUUAAUUUCUAGAAAAGUGUUACAUGUAUGUACGUUUUAACAUAUCGCUUGCACAAAAUAAAAUCCCCACCAUGAUGUACUUGUCUAUAUACUGUAAUAGCAAUUUAAAUGUCUACUGUUUUAAUGAUAUAUAAGUUUCCUAUGUUAAACAAGCCAACUGCCAUUUGAUGCUAACAUAGGAGUGUCGGUUGGAUCAAACCAGGGCCAACUGCCAUUUCAUGUUAAUACAAGACAGACGCAUCCUGAUUAGACUGAUUAACUAACGAAAGACAGGACACAGCCAAAUCCUGAUCAAACUGAUUAACUCACUGAACUCACUGUAUCACUCAAUAUUCUGUUUAUCACUCAAUAUUCUGUUUACGUAACUAUUACCUUACAAGCAUCAAAGGGCACUUUGGCUCGGCCCCUGUGGUUUUUUCAUCACCUCGUCUCCAAACUAAAUUGUAUAAAUUGCUUGUGUCUUCUUCCAACCUGUGCUCUCCUACAGACUACGCUGUGUUCUGUAGAACUGGUGCCUUUGAGAUCUCAAAUUAAUGCACA